CCUACGGGGGGCAGCAGUGAGGAAUAUUGGUCAAUGGCCGGAAGGCUGAACCAGCCAAGCCGCGUGAGGGAGGAAGGCGCAGAGCGUCGCAGACCUCUUUUGCCGGGGGACAAAAGACCGGACGGGUCCGGUUCUGAGGGUACCCGGAGAAAAAGCAUCGGCUAACUCCGUGCCAGCAGCCGCGGUAAUACGGAGGAUGCGAGCGUUAUCCGGAUUCAUUGGGUUUAAAGGGUGCGCAGGCGGGCCUUUAAGCCGGCGGUGAAAUCGCGGGGCUAACCCCCGCCGAGCCGUCGGAACUGGGGGCCUUGAGUGCGGCGGAGGCAUGCGGAAUGCGCGGUGUAGCGGUGAAAUGCAUAGAUAUCGCGCAGAACCCCGAUUGCGAAGGCAGCGUGCCGGGCCGCCACUGACGCUGAGGCACGAAAGCGCGGGGAUCGAACAGGAUUAGAUACCCUAGUAGUC
rnacentral:rRNA from 1 species